rnacentral:rRNA from 1 species
AUUGAACGCUGGCGGCAUGCUUUACACAUGCAAGUCGAACGGUAACAGGGUGCUUGCACCGCUGACGAGUGGCGAACGGGUGAGUAAUGCGUCGGAACGUGCCGAGUAGUGGGGGAUAACGCAGCGAAAGUUGUGCUAAUACCGCAUACGUACUGAGGUAGAAAGUGGGGGACCUUCGGGCCUCACGCUAUUCGAGCGGCCGACGUCUGAUUAGCUAGUAGGUGAGGUAAAGGCUCACCUAGGCGAAGAUCAGUAGCGGGUCUGAGAGGAUGAUCCGCCACACUGGGACUGAGACACGGCCCAGACUCCUACGGGAGGCAGCAGUGGGGAAUUUUGGACAAUGGGCGAAAGCCUGAUCCAGCCAUGCCGCGUGUCUGAAGAAGGCCUUCGGGUUGUAAAGGACUUUUGUCAGGGAGGAAAUCCCUAGUGCUAAUAACACUGGGGGAUGACAGUACCUGAAGAAUAAGCACCGGCUAACUACGUGCCAGCCGCCGCGGUAAUAC